rnacentral:ncRNA from 1 species
UAUAAGUCUUAGAAGUGGUAGUAAUAUUAUCGGAAUUUCAGCGAGUUGAAGUAGAGUGUGAGUUCAACAAGGAAGAUAGUUAUGAAAGAGGGCCACAGAGAUGAUAUGGCGAGCAAGUUGUUAGCUUUAUCCGUCAGGUUUGCGUUAAAACUAGAGUGGGUGUUAUUACAUCAAUCAGAGUGGUACCGCGGAUAUUUCCGUCUCUUUC